CGGAGGAUGAGAAGGUGAGGCAGUUCCGAACCAUGCUGCCUGCCACCGGCUGAGACCUCCGAGAGCGAAGGCCUGCAGAAGCAGAGGAGGCCCCUCUGCCGCCCUCGGAGGGGCAGCGCUGUGCUGGCCGACACUUG
ensembl:snoRNA SNORA47 small nucleolar RNA, H/ACA box 47